GCAUGUGGGCCCUUAUAUGCCUAUAGAUGUGGACAUUUGCAUUACACAACUGGAAUCUGUUCUGACGUCAGCCCUACAUUUCAAGUCGUGAAUUCCAUUGCCCCUGUACGAGAAUGCAGCACUCAACUGGACAUAGUCAUAGUGCUGGAUGGUUCCAACAGUAUUUACCCAUGGGACAGUGUUACAGCUUUUUUAAAUGACCUUCUUGAAAGAAUGGAUAUUGGUCCUAAACAGACACAGGUUGGAAUUGUACAGUACGGAGAAAAUGUGACCCAUGAGUUCAACCUCAAUAAGUAUUCUUCCACCGAAGAGGUACUUGUUGCAGCAAAGAAAAUAGUCCAGAGAGGUGGCCGCCAGACUAUGACAGCUCUUGGAAUAGACACAGCAAGGUGGAAAGCUAAUUACCCAUGCUCUCACUUCAUCUGCCUGCUAAGAUG
rnacentral:sRNA from 1 species